rnacentral:rRNA from 1 species
AACGAACGCUGGCGGCAUGCCUAACACAUGCAAGUCGAGCGCUCCGCAAGGGGAGUGGCGAACGGGUGAGUAACGCGUGGGAACCUGCCCAGUAGUUGGGGAUAACCGCGGGAAACUGCGGCUAAUACCGAAUACGCCCUAAGGGGAAAGGAUUUAUCGCUAUUGGAGGGGCCCGCGUCGGAUUAGCUGGUUGGUGAGGUAACGGCUCACCAAGGCGACGAUCCGUAGCUGGUCUGAGAGGANGAUCAGCCACACUGGGACUUAGACACGGCCCAGACUCCUACGGGAGGCAGCAGUGGGGAAUAUUGGACAAUGGGGGCGAACCCUGAUCCAGCAAUGCCGCGUGAGUGAUGAAGGCCUUAGGGUUGUAAAGCUUC